rnacentral:rRNA from 1 species
CCUACGGGAGGCUGCAGUGAGGAAUAUUGGUCAAUGGGCGCGAGCCUGAACCAGCCAAGUCGCGUGAGUGCAGACGGUCCUAUGGAUUGUAAACCUCUUUUGUCGGGGAGCAAAAGACGCCACGCGUGGCGUUCCGAGAGUACCCGAAGAAAAAGCAUAGGCUAACUCCGUGCCAGCAGCCUCGGUAAUACGGAGGAUCCGAGCGUUAUCCGGAUGUAUUGGGUUUAAAGGGAGCGUAGAUGGGUUGUUAAGUCAGUUGUGAAAGUUUGCGGCUCAACCGUAAAAUUGCAAUUGAUAGUGGCAGGCUUGAGUACAGUUGAGGUAGGCGGAAUUCGUGGUGUAGCGGUGAAAUGCUUAGAUAUCACGAAGAACACCGAUUGCGAAGGCAGCUUACUAAACUGUGACUGACAGUGAUGCUCGAAAGUGUGGGUAUCAAACAGGAUUAGAUACCCUAGUAGUC